rnacentral:rRNA from 1 species
GACGAGGGGUCCAAGCGUUGUUCGGAAUCAUUGGGCGUAAAGCGGGUGUAGGUGGCUUUGUAAGUCAGGAGUGAAAUCCCCCGAGCUUAACUUGGGAAGUGCUUUUGAAACUGCAGAGCUUGAAUGUGGGAGAGGAUCGUGGAAUUCCAGGUGUAGUGGUGAAAUACGUAGAUAUCUGGAGGAACACCAGUGGCGAAGGCGGCUUUCUGGACGGUAACUGACGCUGAGACGCGAAAGCGUGGGGAGCAAACAGG